rfam:Caenorhabditis japonica strain DF5081 Contig17151.3, whole genome shotgun sequence.
CCAACGGCCCUCUUUAGGGCCACAAUUUUGAAAAUCCCCAUUGGUUU